rnacentral:lncRNA from 1 species
UGAGUGCUGCAGGUUUUGUGGAGAGUGGGGUCCAUUUUGUGCACUUUCGAAUUUUUCCUUUGGUAAAAUAAUCGUAAGCGUAUACGUAUGGCAUAAGUUCAAAUUAAAUUAAUUAAAUUAGAAAAAAGUUCAAAUUAAAUAUCUUCAAAUAAAUACUGUUUUUUACAAAAUUCUUUGUAGGUACAGUUUGUUGACCAUAAGUAGUUACAAA